UACGUAGGGUGCAAGCGUUGUCCGGAAUUAUUGGGCGUAAAGAGCUCGUAGGCGGUUUGUCGCGUCUGCUGUGAAAACUCGGGGCUUAACCCUGGGCCUGCAGUGGGUACGGGCAGACUAGAGGUAUGCAGGGGAGAACGGAAUUCCUGGUGUAGCGGUGAAAUGCGCAGAUAUCAGGAGGAACACCGGUGGCGAAGGCGGUUCUCUGGGCAUUACCUGACGCUGAGGAGCGAAAGUGUGGGGAGCGAACAGG
rnacentral:rRNA from 1 species